AUUUGCAAAAAAUGAAAAUACCCUACCUCCAAUUAACUAAAUUAAUAAUCCUUAUAUUUAAACAAAAAUUUCAUACUUUUCGCAAUGAUCAGUAUCAAUAUUUGUACCACAGUACGUAUUUCGGGACGUAAUCAAGUAAGCCAUUGUUGGAAUUCGUAACCGGACCGUACUUUUCGUCUUUCUUAAAACUUCCUCGCGCCUUCUCGGUGUAUUGCAGUCUCGAACGCGCUUUCUUACGCUUCCGCUUCGCAACGCACGAUCGUCAAGAAAAGACGCCCGAAUGGAGUGGCAGGGUGGGAGGGAAGGUGAAUUCGCGAGGCGAAGCGACGGCAAGGGGGGUUGGUUCGGGGAGAAGGGGACCUGGCAUUUCUCGCAGAAAGGACCGAGCGAGCUAUGAAAUACGACUCAGCUAUCCUCCAACGCCAACCGCCGCUCGACGUUCCUGGAGGCGUCGGCAGCCACCUAAUGCGGAUACAAUGGUCGACAGUUGUUACCGGUGCUUCUUGCGCGUCGCUUUUUUACGCCGCGCCGCGCUGAGCGCGUCGGGCCAGCUGCGUUCCUUCUUCGUCGCGGCGACGAGAAAAAUCUAUUCACGACAGGCCUUUUGCGAGGACUUUUGCAGUACUAACGUGGCUCGUCCCCGACAAAACAAAAGGGAAUCUCUAAUUAAGCGGCGCAAUCUUUUGCAAACUUUAAUCGUUCUAUAAUUAUUGCUCUAACUCCCGUUUCUUGUCAAAUGCAACGUGGUCGUCAAUCGGGGUAAUUAUGACACAAUUUUGGUGCACUCGAUGAUGAAUCGGAAAAGCGGUAAUUAUUUAUUUAACAUAAAGUUACAAUAAACUGACAGACAUCAAUUAAAUGUGUAAAAAAAUUAUGUGUUAUUCGCUGAAGGCAUAAAACUCUUAGUUAUCCUGAAACAGUUUUAUUUAGCGGGAGAAAGUCUGCAGAUCUGAAAGAACAAUUCUUUCCUUCGCAAAAUGUAUAUUUACGUCUUCCAAUAGGAAUAACAAUAACGAAUGUUCUUUAUCGCCUUGAUGUAGAACGAGACAUAUAUUUAUACCGUUUGGAAGCCCAGAAGGCGUUUAAAUCACGAGGGGUAUAAGUGAAAUGUAUAAAACCAUUACGGUUAUCCCGGUCUAAAGCCGGCAACGUCAUUAGGAUCCGUCCGAUGUGGUCGCGGCCGUAUUGUUGCUGCGCGUUUGCGCGCCACGUUCCAUUUUCACGUAACGCACACACAUUUCCCUGGAUAGGCUAUCCCUCGCGGUCGUUUUAUCGAUACGAACAACGCCCGCGUGCCUGCAGAUCGCCUGAUUACGCUCUCUGGAAAAUCAUCAGCGAACUUUCUCAACAUCCCCUUCAUUUGUGCCCGCUUCGCUUUCUCUCCUCUUCUCUCUCUCUCUCUCUCUCUCUCUCUCUCUCUCUCUCUCUCUCUCUCUCUCUCUCUCUCUCUCUCUCUCUCUCUUUCUCUCUAUUUAUCCCGUUUUACCCUUGGAAACUUUGCUAUUCGCGCGAGCGUGGUUUGCAAGGUAAUUAUGUAGCCGACGAAACAUCUAACGUGGAGUGUAACGCCACCAGAAAUACGUGACGAGAUGUGAAAAUUAAAUGCUCAUAUUUCUGUCACGCGAGGAUCCUCAAGGACCUUGUAAAUUACCGGACAAAUCUAGUGAAUUAAUUUUCGAUAAGCGAUUAUUAAUUUUCUCGCGAUUCUAUGGAAUAAUUGUACAGUUUAACUCUCUCCAAUUAAACAGAUAUCUAUUGGAUUAGAAUUAUUCUGUGAAAAUUGCCACUCUUCGUCCUCAAAUUUGAAUUUAAUCUUUGGAAAAAUAAUAUCAACCGGGAAUUUAUGUUAGGAAUUCAAGUCAAUAAAUUUUAGUUUCUAUCAAUCUUUUUGGAACGUCAACCAAUGAUUAAGUCCCCAAGGUUUGCCCGAAGGGCAAAAAAGAAACGGCGGAUAAAGGGGGUAAUCCAUGAUCGCAGAAAGAAAAUCGACGCGCGCGUUUCUUGCGCGAUUCUUUCCUCACGAGCGGACAGUCACCGCGAGACACACACAGCAUCUCCGGUAAACGACACUCGUCGACGCUGCCACGACGUCACACGUGAUCGCGAGUAGUUAAGAUAAUCGCCGUGAAGAGAGAUAAGAACAUUCGUGGCUCGCAUCGUAUCUGCGAUGGAUGGUGAACGUUUGCACAUCGACGAAAAGAAUCUCUCCUCUUGUGGGAAAUGUUCGAUCCGAAUCCGAUACUUCCGGUCGUUUGAACCUGGCAUUAUCGAGAAUGAAGUUUCUAUCUUUUUUUAAACGAAAUUUAAACUCGUUGAUCGCGCAAAUGUUUCUUUUAAUAUCAUAAGUAGAUAGACCAGCAUUAUCACAUACUGCAGCAAGAAUAUACGAUGUGAUUGAAUAUUAAUUAUAAAUGAUAUUACAUUAUAUUUCAUAACUUAAUAAUCGUCUUAUAUCGUUAUUUUGCUCUAGUUUUAUUUUAAUAUUUCCAUUAAGUUGCAUAUCCAAAAACAGCAAUGUUUUCCUUCAAUACGUCUAUCUCGUUUCAAACUUAGCACAAGCUGCUAAAUUAAAAUUAUGCUAGAGUAAGAAUCGGUCACGUCGCACUCCUUUCGGCGACGAACCGAGGAGCGGUCAAAUGAAAAUCAAUCCCCGUCUCCUGAAUGAUCUGCGUCAUCGUUCUUUAAUAUCGCAAUUCCGAGGCCCGUUGUUCUCGAUACUGCUAUCGUCACGCGACAAAAACGCGACAAGAGCGUUGACGAAUAAUAGGCAAGGAAAGUAUCGGCACGAUUUCUUGAAACCGCAACGCCUUCUCUCCGUUCCUCUCCGUUCAUUCUGUUCUUUCUCGUGCCACGCAACAAACAAACGGCGUUGGUGGCAGUCCCCGGUGGUGGCGUCCCAUCGUACACACAGUGUUUUAUAACCGACGCUCCUGCCGGCGUAAAAACACACACGAUCGCCAACGGUUAACGCCAGAACGUCGCUGCUGAACGUUCCUGCACUUUAUUCCUUGCUCUUCCUCCUCUCUUCCUCCGUCUCUCUCUUUCUCUUUCUCUCUCUCUCUCUCUCUCUUUCCCCUUCGAUGUCGUCGUUCCUCCUGGAUUUUAUACGACCGCCAUCCGCACCCCGCGCCUCUUCCGCUUUUUACUGCUGAACAAUACACAAUUCUGUCCUUCCGUAGAGAUAUAUCCCGGGUGAACACGCGCUCCUGCUUGCUCGCGAAAUGCGCCGCGUCGCGACGCGCCGCAUCGAGGGUGGCUUCGUUUACAUUCGAGUCUACUGUUCAUCCAGAGUACGAGCGCACUCGAGGGUUGUUUCGAGUGAUCGAGAGCGGAUUGUCCAUACCGUUAACCAUUUCCACGUUGCUCUUCCGUUAUAAAGUAAUAAAGUAUAUUGCGUCGCCUGUGAUUAACAUCGAGUGCCGCACAAUGUAAUUAACUGUGUUUUCGCGAGUGUUUUGUGAUUGCCAUGUGAAGGGACAAGAAGAACCUGAGAGCAGAAGCAGGCCUGGGAAGCAUUAAGCGACGGCGGCGGUGAAGCAAUCAUGAGGUAAGUAUUUUACUUAUUUAUUAUUCGUAAAAUUGUUUAUAAUCAUUUUCUUCUAAAAUAUAUAAGUUAGUCGAAAAAAGCUAAUAUUUAACUAUGUAUUUAAUUUACUUUGUAUGCAUUUAUGAAAAAAGAAAUAAA
rnacentral:lncRNA from 1 species